UACAGAGGGGGCAAGCGUUGUCCGGAAUCACUGGGCGUAAAGAGCGUGUAGGCGGUCUGCCAAGUCUGUUGUGAAAUCUCCCGGCUUAACUGGGAGGGUGCAGCGGAAACUAGAAUGCUAGAGGGUGGGAGAGGUAAGCGGAAUUCCUGGUGUAGCGGUGAAAUGCGUAGAUAUCAGGAGGAACACCUGUGGUGUAGACAGCUUACUGGACCACUUCUGACGCUGAGACACGAAAGCGUGGGUAGCAAACAGG
rnacentral:rRNA from 1 species